UCCCUCCGCAGUGGCGAAAACGGGGGAAAGAGGAGCAGGAGAUCAAAGGCGUCCCCUGAUUCCCUGCAAGGUCCACCGGCGGCGCCCUCCUCAUCUGUCGGAUUGACCGCCGGCCUCGCCAGCGACCUUCUCCUCCGCGCCCCAGCCCGCUCGAACGCCGCUGCCCUCCUCACCGACGGGAUCAGAGCCGCCGGGCUCACCUCCAGCGUCCUCCUGUGCGCCCCUUCCCUGUUCCCUCCGACGAGUGCUGCUCCGUCCGCACCCACGAGAACGCCUGCACCUGCUAGACGCCACCGCCUGCACUCGCGCGAACGCCUCCGCCCGCACCCACGCGAACUCCGCCGCCCUCCGCAAGGUUUCAUCCUCUUCUACAACUUUCGUUCUAGUGAAAACUGCAGGUACUUUGCGUAUUGGUUGCUCUUGCCACCAUCAUUGUUUCAGACUGAGUGGUGUGUUACUUUGUCCUCUCCGAUUGCAGCUUGUGGUCUGAUUCCUAUACAUCUAAUUAGAUUGAUUUGCUGUGUUGACAAAAGCCGUGGAGGCUAGCUAGCAAUGCUAUUGUUUUAUAGUAUGCCAAAUCAGAUAUACAUCCAUGGUAGCUAAUCUUUGCGACACCAUCUACUGCAUCUACUGAAAGCACUAGGUAUAUGUUCUAGGGAACUAAAUUUCAACACUAGGUACUAUGUUCCAGGGAACUAAAUUUCAACUAAAGAAAACUGUUUUUGACGCUGUAAAACUUGUUGCAUGUUCAAAGUCUUGCAAUAUGGUAGCACACAGUUUAGCUCCGAAUGGUGUUGGUAUGAGGGGAGUAGGUCCUAUUAUAACUGAAAGCUUAACCUGCAGUGGCAAGCUCUCUUUAGUAGUUUGGUUUAACUUUUUGUUUUCAAAUCUACACAGAGGCAAGCAUGCUGUUAUAUAAAUCUGUGGGCUGAAACCACUACAGUCAUUCCUGAAACUAAAUACUUUUAAGGUGAUGCUCUGUUUACAUGCUUUUCCUUAUUAAAAAGAUAACUAAAGUGAGUCAUGAUAUUGCUAGGAGGGUCAGGUAGACAUGUACAUGAGCACUGGCGGAGCUACUCAGGGGCCGAACUGGGCCAUGGCCCGCCCAAGAUUUGUGCAUAAAUACUUGUACCCAAGCAUCCCUGGCUGGCCCAAUUCAUUAGCAGUAGCAGAGCAAGGCCAGCUAACGAGCAACGAGAAGGACAGUCUCCCAGCGAGCAGGAGCACCCAACAGACAACACGGUGAUUUGCCUGCUUGUUGGUUUUUCUCAAAAUACGGAAUAGAAAGUUUGUUUGGUAGUUAGUAGGUAUCUAACUUUGUUCGUCAGUUUAAAACGUCAUGUAUCUUGGGCUCUUGGCUAGCACUUACAAAAAAAAUCCCUCCAAGUUCUUACCUAGCUACUAUACCUAUGUUUCAAAAUAUAAGUUUUUGCUGGCUUUCGAUACGAUCUAUUAGCGCAGGGAAAUCGUACAACAACUUGUACCACAGAUGUCGCCCGGCCGCUACCGCUUCGGGCGUAGUGUUGCCCGCAGAGCAACCACGACCGCCGAAACCGCCCUAGAAGCCCCGGGCCGCCGCCCCGCCGCCAACAUCACACUAUCCAAAGCGCCACACCGCUCUAGCCGGGGACCCUAGCGUGCGUGGGAGGAGGGGCCGCCGGCGACUACCAUGUGGGCUUUGCUCGCUACCUGCUGGCAGCGAUGAGAGCGGACGAGGAAUAAGGCGGGGCUCGUGGGCGGGGAGUUGGUCGCCCAUGUUACCUUCGGGAGGGACCAAAUAUAAGAUUUUUUGGUAGGCUAUUUUAACCGAUCAAGACAUUUUGUAUUUAGGAACGGAUGUAAUAUUUGUUGGCAUGAUUGAUAUUUUUCACUUAAUUCUCCUCCAAAAUUCUUAUCUAGUCAAUAAAAAAUUUGAGCUCUCCUUUAAUUGGCCCGCCCAGUCAUUACCUUGUAGCUCCGCCACUGUACAUGAGGCCUUUAUCAAAUAACUGUAUGCUUAUAUAUGAGUCCUUUGUCAAAUAACUUACUAUAUGCAUAUGGUCAUUGUUUUUCUAAAUCUUACCAUUAUAUGUUAGCAUAUUUUGCUUCUAACGUUUCAUGAUAUCCUUCUUCGCCAAGGUAGUGAAAUCAUGCGCACAACUCCAGAGUAUGAGAGAAACAGGUUGGCAAGGAUUGCGAGGCGCAAGGCUGAGGAGGCAGGGCCUCUUGCAAACAUACGGAACAUAGCCAGUCAACUGCUAUAUGGCCAGAAUACAAAAGACAAACAGAGGCACAAAGGUGAUGAUGGUGGCAGUGGCUCCGAAUAUGAGCCAAAUGAUGAGGAGGAGGCUGAGGAGGCAGGGCCUCUUGCAAACAUACGGAACAUAGCCAGUCAACUGCUAUAUGGCCAGAAUACAAAAGACAAACAGAGGCACAAAGGUGAUGAUGGUGGCAGUGGCUCCGAAUAUGAGCCAAAUGAUGAGGAGGAGGCUGAUGAUGGCGAUGAGGUUUCUGGAGAAGAAGAGGAGCAUGAACAACUGUACAUAUGUCAAAGGAAAAGGUAUUUGAGGAGGAAACUCAACCUUCGACAAAGCCACAACUAAGAAAGCGUGCCCGGUCCAAAACCACAGUACCUACUACCACAAGAACAACAAGAGCAUCGGCAUCUAGACUUAACCAGACUGACCAUACCUCAUCUAAUGACGACACAUCACCUCACCGAACUUCGAAAGAUAGUAACAAACCCCAGGCCGAUACAGAGAUGCAACAUUCUCAAGACAUGACAAACACAUUGCGCCAAAUUGAUAACAGUGAUACACUACGGGGCCAAGAAGGGUGUUCGGCAACAGCGAUACAUCUUGAAGAGGGAUUAUUUUAAUGGUCGUACCCGUGAAGAAGCGCUAUCUCAUAAUCCACCCAAAGUUAGUCAACAUAAUUGGGAAACUCUUGUGGAUAAAUGGUCAGAUGAAAGAAACAAGAAAAUUUGUGCCAAGAAUAAGGAGAACCGAGAAGGUGUUAAGCAUCACCAAACUACAGGCUCUAGGUCUUAUCCUUCUCAUUUCCACCAACUU